rnacentral:rRNA from 1 species
UCAAAGAUUAAGCCAUGCAUGUCUCAGUACAAACUUUCCUAAAGUGAAACCGCGAAUGGCUCAUUAUAUCAGCUAUGAUUUAAUGGAUCUAUACCCAGUUUUCCUUGGAUAACUGUGGUAAUUCUAGAGCUAAUACAUGCACAUAUAGUCCCUGACCUGACGGGAAGGGCGCUUUUAUUAGUAUCACAAAAAACCGGUGAAACAUGACUUUGGUCUGUAAAAAAAAUGAAUUGUGAUGACUCUGGAUAACUUUAAGCUGAGCGCACGGUCUUUGCACUAGCGCCGCUUCUUUCAAGUGUCUGCCUUAUCAGCUUUCGAUUGUAUGUUAUAUGCAUACAAUGGCGAUAACGGGUAACGGGGAAUCAGGGUUCGAUUCCGGAGAGGGAGCCUGAGAAACGGCUACCACAUCCAAGGAAGGCAGCAGGCACGCAAAUUACCCACUCCCAGCAUGGGGAGGUAGUGACGAAAAAUAACGAUGCAAGACUCAUCCGAGGCCUUGCAAUCGGAAUGAGUACACUUUAAAUCCUUUAACCAGGAUCCAUUGGAGGGCAAGUCUGGUGCCAGCAGCCGCGGUAAUUCCAGCUCCAAUAGCGUAUAUUAAAGUUGUUGCGGUUAAAAAGCUCGUAGUUGGAUUACAGUUGUGGACUGAUGGUUCACCAUAUGGUGUUUACUAUCACGCUCCAAAACCGCUCAUACAAUGUAAAAGUUGUUGGGCUCCACUAGCUCGCACUGGAUGCUCUUGACCGAGUGUCCAGAGUGGCUGGUAUGUUUACUUUGAAAAAAUUAGAGUGCUCAAAGCAGGCUAUUUAUGCCUGAAUGUCUAUGCAUGGAAUAAUGGAAUAGGACCUCGGUUCUAUUUUGUCGGUUUUCUACGGAAUCCGAGGUAAUGACUAAGAGGGACUGACGGGGGCAUUUGUACUGCGACGCUAGAGGUGAAAUUCUUGGACCGUCGCAAGACAAACAACUGCGAAAGCAUUUGCCAAGGAUGUUUUCAUUAAUCAAGAACGAAAGUUAGAGGUUCGAAGGCGAUCAGAUACCGCCCUAGUUCUAACCAUAAACGAUGCUAACCAGCAAUCCGUCGGUGUUAUUCCCAUGACCCGACGGGCAGCUUCCGGGAAACCAAAGUCUUUGAGUUCCGGGGGAAGUAUGGUUGCAAAGCUGAAACUUAAAGGAAUUGACGGAAGGGCACCACCAGGAGUGGAGCCUGCGGCUUAAUUUGACUCAACACGGGAAACCUCACCAGGCCCAGACACUGGAAGGAUUGACAGAUUGAGAGCUCUUUCUUGAUUCAGUGGGUGGUGGUGCAUGGCCGUUCUUAGUUG